rnacentral:rRNA from 1 species
ACGCUCGACACCUACGAGAGGCAGCAGUGGGGAAUAUUGCACAAUGGGGGAAACCCUGAUGCAGCGACGCCGCGUGAGCGAAGAAGUAUUUCGGUAUGUAAAGCUCUAUCAGCAGGGAAGAAACUGACGGUACCUGACUAAGAAGCACCGGCUAAAUACGUGCCAACAGCCGCGGUAAUCUGAGCGGGCUGGCAAGGC